GUGUCAGCCGCCGCGGUAAUACGUAGGGUGCAAGCGUUGUCCGGAAUUAUUGGGCGUAAAGAGCUCGUAGGCGGUCUGUCGCGUCGGCUGUGAAAACCUGGGGCUCAACCCCAGGCCUGCAGUCGAUACGGGCAGACUAGAGUCCGGCAGGGGAGACUGGAAUUCCUGGUGUAGCGGUGAAAUGCGCAGAUAUCAGGAGGAACACCGGUGGCGAAGGCGGGUCUCUGGGCCGGAACUGACGCUGAGGAGCGAAAGCGUGGGGAGCGAACAGGAUUAGAAACCCCCGUAGUCC
rnacentral:rRNA from 1 species